GGUGGCUACGCUCCGACUGGACCCCUAGCCUGGGAAUCUACACGUGCCUGGGGAGUGGCCCCAGAAAAGGCAAAAAGACAAAAAAACAAUCCCUCUUGGCUCUUUUAAAGGUUCUGCUGCCUAGAAACUGCGGAGACUGAGAAUUGAGCUGUACCAACACCGAGAAAGAUCUGAGUUGAAGGUGAUAAAAUGAAAUGAAUGGAGUGAGAUUAAAUUUUCAUAAUAAAAUCUAGACCAGGUUUGAAAAAUCUCCCUAGCUGGCAAAACAGAAUGAGCCACCUAAGCAAAACUAAAUCGAGUUUAUUUGAGAGCUUACGGGAAAUUUAGAUUAGGGUAUUUCUUGUAAAUGCCUUUGAAAACUAUUUAAAAAAAAAAAAAAAGGUACAAAACCGCAUACUGUGGUGAUCUGCUCCCCUGGAAACCCUUAUCAUAAAAAGCAAUCACUGUCAAGGUCAAACAACUUCCUCCUGUUCCCUUUACAAGCUGUUGGGAAACAUCAAACCUCUGAGCUUCAUACUUGUUCUAGAAGUAGGAAGGAAAGAGCGAUGAAGAACAUCAACGCUGGUUGAGUAAGUGGUGCUUGCACUGGCGGAUCCCAUUCUGCUCAAUGAUUUUUGACGGAUCUGGGAUCCCAGCUCUGUUCCCUUUGUGUUCUGCUCUCCGAUUUCAUCAAGGGACCUUUAUGGAAGCUUCUUGGUAAGUCACCCUACUCAACUCAAAAGGUAAGAAGCUUCUCAGUAAUUCCUUUUGUUUUGAAACUGCUGUGGGAAACCUGGCUGACAGAAUUAAGAUGUCUUAGGGAAUUCAAAGGCAAAUAUGGGUGCCACACGGUCCAAAAAUGGAACCAGGAUCUUGUGCCUUUUGAGGGAAUGGGUUAACUGUUGGACUAUUUGUGAUGAAAUAAAGUCUGUAUUUUCAACCAGCACAAGAAAAUGUGAACUUAAAAUUCUCUCUCUCCUUAGCACCCCCCAUUCAGCCUCCUCCCUGCCUCCCUAAUGUGCAGUAUGCCUGUGCAUCACAUGUCCACCAGACCGCCUCAGAAAUGGGAAUUCCUGCUCUAUUGCAAAGAUUAUUUUUCUCCUUUACCUGCCCCAAAGCCAGCAAUGUAACUUCUUCAAGAUUAGCACUUUCCCAACUCCGAGGGGGGUGCGCGGUGGCGGUGUGUGUGUGUGGGGGGGGGUCCACAGUGACAUACAGCUUGCUUUGUGUGUGUUUACCUGGACAUUGUAUCUUUAGUGAACUUUAUGUAACAUGUCAGCAUGUCAUUUUGAUGUAAGAUCCUUUGGAAAAUGUAUAUGACUGUGCCUUUGAUUACAGGAGGAACAGUUCUCAGAGCUUCUAAGAAUCAUCUCCUGGAUUGCAAUCUUCACUUUGGCUUGAAUAAAAUUCCCUUUUGCUUCUUAACUUGAUCCAUUAAAUUUCCAUCAUUUGCUUGGCAUAGUGGGCAGGAUAUCAGAGACACGCACCAGUGAACACCUGGAGUCUGCUCUGAACCUGUACUUGGUACCAGCUGGGCCCUUUGAGCCCCACCAGCUUCUUGGUAUUCCUCCUUCCUUCGGAAUGACCAAGAAGAAGCUCCUAUUGACAAAGCUGAUCUAAUUUGAUUUACUGAUGGUUCCUACUUAAAGGAUGAGCAGAGGCAUUAUAGAGCGGGGUAUGAAAUAACAUCCACAGUGAACAUAAGUGAGAGUUCUUAUUUACCAGAAACAAAGUCCACACAACAAGCCAAAUCAAUUGCCUUAACCUGAGCUUUUUAACUGGCUACAGACCAGCUAGUGAAUAUUUAUACUGACAGCUGCAAUGCCUCACACAAAAAGAAAUAUAUUGCUCUAAUGAAAGUUUAUAAAUGGGAGGGAGAGGAAUGGUGCAAAUCAACAUGUAUCAUUCUGAUGAACAAUUGUAAAUGGGAAAAAAGCAGUGCAGAUCAAAAUAGAAAUAUACUGUUCUGAUGAGAAACCGUACUGGGAGGAAAACAAACUUUAAAAAAAAGAACCAAAAAAAAAAAUCAUUCCAAUGAAAUAUUGUAAAUGAUGGGAAUGUGGUGCAAAUCAGAAUAUAUACCUCUGAUGAAAA